UGGGGAAUAUUGGACAAUGGGCGCAAGCCUGAUCCAGCCAUGCCGCGUGAGUGAUGAAGGCCCUAGGGUUGUAAAGCUCUUUCAGCGAGGAGGAUAAUGACGUUACUCGCAGAAGAAGCCCCGGCUAACUUCGUGCCAGCAGCCGCGGUAAUACGAAGGGGGCUAGCGUUGUUCGGGAUCACUGGGCGUAAAGCGCACGUAGGCGGACUUUUAAGUCAGGGGUGAAAUCCCGGGGCUCAACCUCGGAACUGCCUUUGAUACUGGAAGUCUGGAGUCCGAGAGAGGUGAGUGGAACUCCGAGUGUAGAGGUGAAAUUCGUAGAUAUUCGGAAGAACACCAGUGGCGAAGGCGGCUCACUGGCUCGGUACUGACGCUGAGGUGCGAAAGCGUGGGGAGCAAACAGGGUUAGAUACCCUGGUAGUCCACGCCGUAAACGAUGUAAGCUAGCCGUCAGGGUGCAUGCAUCUUGGUGGCGCAGUUAACGCAUUAAGCUUCCCGCCUGGGGAGUACGGUCGCAAGAUUAAAACUCAAAGGAAUUGACGGGGUCAUAGCUGUUUCCU
rnacentral:rRNA from 1 species